CCUUAAAGUCUUCUACGAACGGCCCACACGAUGGAGCGGUUCCGAUAUUCAAAUUGUAAUCGUGUACCUGUCCUACUUGAUCGAUCUGUCAUAAAUGUGGCAGCUGGUCAGCUCGAUAGAGGUACCCUCCACCUUUGUUCCUCUCCCCAUCGCUGUGUCUGUCGUCUCCCGAACCCCCGAUGAUGGGUUCGCGGAUGAGCAGAGGCGGGUAGCGCAUGGGACGUAUGGGAGGAGGCGUUCGGCCCGUACCUACGGGAGGCCGGAUAAUGGGAGGUGUCGGUGUCCCUAUACCCGUACCGAUAGGUAGUCGUCCCCGCAUGCCCAUGGGUGGGAGGUCGAUAGGUGUGGUAGUUCCACCGAUAGUGCCAGUGCCUCCCAGAAACGAACAACGGCCGCCACGCCGCCGCCGCCGCCGGAUACCGCGCGUAGUGAACUCGGUACCGGUAGUGCCGGUGCCGCCUAUGAUGGUGGCAGGACGCCCAAUGGUAGUAGUAAUGCCGCCGUUCAAGUUCUUCGUACCUGCGAUGCCAAUACCGGUACCGCCGUUCAAGUUCGUACCGUUCGUGUACGCGGAGAAACCUCCCUUCGUACCGGAGAAACCACCUUUUGUGUUCACCUUUAUCAAAAGAAGGUUCAACUAGAUAGCUCGCCUCACUUGAUUACACUACAACCCUUAUUUAGGCAGAUACAUUAUUAGUUGAGGUAGGUAUAGGGUAUAGGUAUCGUAUAUAUGAUAAUAUUUAUACAUAUUAUUCAAGCAAGACACGCGCGUGCAUAUCAGAUGCAUGUACACUUACAGCCAGCGCUACUUUAAACGAACCAGGCGUGCAUGUUUACUGCUUUCUUUGCGCGCGUUAGGUGUGGGACAUGCCAGCUAGACAUUGGUGCACGGUUAAAUUUGUACGUGGGUGUAGAUAGAUAUAGAUAUUUAUGCUUGCACGAGGGUACGGGAGAGGACGAAAGUCUGUUAAAGCUAGAACUAAUCAAAGGGAAGAAACACGUGUGUUGCUCAGCUUCUCCAGCUCUACUGGUUCGAGUCGUCGUCGUUGCAACUGCUACCGAUGCUCAUGCUCCUUCUUAUGUAGUUGUUGCGCGCGCCCUACUUAGAGAAGUGGACGGCUACCGAGGGGCGAUUACGGUCUGGUUAGUUCCGGGAGCAGAAGUACACGGUGCCAAUGCGCCACCUCACGUCGCACUGCUACGCGCCGUGGCCCCAAGCCGACCGCGUCCGGCCGAUGCGGCAGAUGCCGUACCUGAUGCUCCCGGUGCCGUUCAGCCUGCCGGAGUCCCCGAUGCAGGGGAGGAAGCUGCAGGAGGAGCCGCUGACGCUGCGGAUGAAGUGGCGGCAGCAGCAGCGGUUGGUUAGAGGAGUCGACGGAGCCAAGGACGACCCGCUCAGGUACCCGCCGCGCCACCGCGACGACGAGGUGGCCCGCGCCGGCAGGAUGACCCGCCCGCGGCACGACCACCGCGGGUACACGUUCUAGUGCCUCCUCUACUUCGGCGUGGGCCGCCACUAGUUCCACGACCUCCAGCACUGGUCCAAGUAGGGCUGCACCUUCCACCACGGGUGGUCCUUGCAGUAGCCGCGGCGGAUGGCCUGCGUCCGGUUCGCGCUGCUCUAGGCGGCGUUGGGGAUGACGAUGUUCCCGGCCGGCGCCGAGUUCUGCCGCGUGCUCGAGGAGGCCCGGUCGGAGGCGCACCUCUCGCUCCACGAGUGCGUCCACUGCGACGGGAAGGAGCAGCACGUGCCCCCUCCCCUGUCCCAGUGCCUGGGGAGGCAGUCGGUCGAGGAGACGGCCCUCCGCGGGUCGUGCCUGUUCUGCGAGUUCGAGAUGGGGCCGUACACCGUGCGGGAGUGGAGGCCGCUCGACGGUCUCUUGUAGCUGUUCCAGAAGUAGCUAUAGUAGCGUACCGAGCUAGUGUCCAGGCCAGGCGGACGCUGGCGCGGGCUCUCCCUGCUGACUGCGGAGUACGCGCCGUUGGGUAGUAGGUAUCUUGAAGAAAAGAAAAGAAAAACUAAGUACUGCUGUCACUAGGUACUUGUAAUUAAUAGUUAAUGACAUGUGAGGUCGAUAUGUAUGAUGUAUAUAAAUCCCGAUGAUGAGAGAUGUA
rnacentral:rRNA from 1 species